rnacentral:rRNA from 1 species
CCUACCGUGACAGAACGACUUCCAUACUCGUGUGAAGAGUUUGAUCAUGGCUCAGGACGAACGCUGGCGGCGUGCUUAACACAUGCAAGUCGUACGGUAAGGCCCUUUCGGGGGUACACGAGUGGCGAACGGGUGAGUAACACGUGAGUAACCUGCCCACAACUUUGGGAUAACGCUAGGAAACUGGUGCUAAUACUGGAUAUGUGCUCCUGCUGCAUGGUGGGGGUUGGAAAGCUCCGGCGGUUGUGGAUGGACUCGCGGCCUAUCAGCUUGUUGGUGGGGUAGUGGCCUACCAAGGCGGCGACGGGUAGCCGGCCUGAGAGGGUGACCGGCCACAUUGGGACUGAGAUACGGCCCAGACUCCUACGGGAGGCAGCAGUGGGGAAUAUUGCACAAUGGGCGCAAGCCUGAUGCAGCAACGCCGCGUGCGGGAUGACGGCCUUCGGGUUGUAAACCGCUUUCAGCAGGGACGAAGCUUUUUGUGACGGUACCUGCAGAAGAAGCACCGGCUAACUACGUGCCAGCAGCCGCGGUGAUACGUAGGGUGCGAGCGUUGUCCGGAUUUAUUGGGCGUAAAGGGCUCGUAGGCGGUUGAUCGCGUCGGAAGUGGAAACUUGAUGCUUAACGUUGAGCGUGCUUUCGAUACGGGUUGACUUGAGGAAGGUAGGGGAGAAUGGAAUUCCUGGUGGAGCGGUGGAAUGCGCAGAUAUCAGGAGGAACACCAGUGGCGAAGGCGGUUCUCUGGACCUUUCCUGACGCUGAGGAGCGAAAGCGUGGGGAGCGAACAGGCUUAGAUACCCUGGUAGUCCACGCUGUAAACGGUGGGUACUAGGUGUGGGGUCCAUUCCACGGAUUCUGUGCCGUAGCUAACGCAUUAAGUACCCCGCCUGGGGAGUACGGCCGCAAGGCUAAAACUCAAAGGAAUUGACGGGGCCCCGCACAAGCGGCGGAGCAUGCGGAUUAAUUCGAUGCAACGCGAAGAACCUUACCUGGGUUUGACAUGGAUCGGGAGCUUCCAGAGAUGGUUGUGCCUCUUUUGGGGUCGGUUCACAGGUGGUGCAUGGCUGUCGUCAGCUCGUGUCGUGAGAUGUUGGGUUAAGUCCCGCAACGAGCGCAACCCUCGUCCACUGUUGCCAGCAAUUCGGUUGGGGACUCAGUGGAGACCGCCGGGGUCAACUCGGAGGAAGGUGGGGAUGACGUCAAGUCAUCAUGCCCCUUAUGUCCAGGGCUUCACGCAUGCUACAAUGGCCGGUACAGUGAGUUGCGACAUCGUAAGGUGGAGCGAAUCUCAAAAAGCCGGUCUCAGUUCGGAUUGGGGUCUGCAACUCGACCUCAUGAAGUCGGAGUCGCUAGUAAUCGCAGAUCAGCAACGCUGCGGUGAAUACGUUCCCGGGGCUUGUACACACCGCCCGUCAAGUCAUGAAAGUCGGUAACACUCGAAGCCGGUGGCCUAACACUUUUUGUGGGGGAGCUGUCGAAGGUGGGACUGGUGAUUAGGACUAAGUCGUAACAAGGUAACCGUCACACGAGUAUGGAAGUCGUUCUGUCACGG